AUUGAACGCUGGCGGCAGGCUUAACACAUGCAAGUCGAGCGGGGUGAUGGUGCUUGCACUAUCACUUAGCGGCGGACGGGUGAGUAAUGCUUAGGAAUCUGCCUAUUAGUGGGGGACAACAUCUCGAAAGGGAUGCUAAUACCGCAUACGUCCUACGGGAGAAAGCAGGGGAUCACUUGUGACCUUGCGCUAAUGGAUGAGCCUAAGUCGGAUUAGCUAGUUGGUGGGGUAAAGGCCUACCAAGGCGACGAGCUGUAGCGGGUCUGAGAGGAUGAUCCGCCAAACUGGGACUGAGACACGGCCAAGACUCCGACGGGAGGCAGCAGUGGGGAAUAUUGGACAAUGGGGGGAACCCUGAUCCAGCCAUGCCGCGUGUGUGAAGAAGGCCUUAUGGUUGUAAAGCACUUUAAGCGAGGAGGAGGCUCUUUUGGUUAAUACCCAAGAUGAGUGGACGUUACUCGCAGAAUAAGCACCGGCUAACUCUGUGCCAGCCGCCGCAGUAA
rnacentral:rRNA from 1 species